CUACCACACCCUUCGUUCGUUCGAUCCAUUUUUGUUACCUACCCUGCCCAUCAAUGGGAUCUUCCCCUCCACCUCAAUAUUUUGGGAGGCAGCGAUCUCUCCAUAACAUCCUCGGUGGAGGAAAUGUUGCAGAUGUGAUUCUUUGGAGGAGGAGAAGUGUGACAAUCAGUAUAUUGCUUGGCACUGUUGCUGCUUGGGUGGUCUUCCAGAUGUCUGGCUACACUUUCUUAUCAUUUGUGUCCAACGUUUUGCUUCUUUUGUUGUCCAUCCUCUUUGUCUGGGCAAAGGCUGCUGGGCUACUCAACAGGCCACCCCCACCUAUCCCAAAGCUACAGCUUUCAGAGGCUGUUAUAAAAACAGCAGCAGAUUUUGUGUAUUCUCAUAUGAACAUGGUACUGUCUGCAACCUAUAAGAUUGCGCUUGGAAAAGACACAAACCUCUUCUACAGAGUAGCUGGAUGCUUAUGGCUGAUUUCUUUUGUUGGUGGUCUUACUGAUUUUCUUACUCUUGGAUACACUGGUCUUCUCGCUGUCCUGACGAUCCCUGUGCUUUAUGAGAAGUAUGAAAGUUAUGUUGAGAGAUAUGUGAACAUCGCCUGCAUGGAAUUGCGGCAUCGGUAUGAGAGCUAUACAAAGCAUUUAAACAAGGUUAAGAAUUGGAUUUUGGAGAAGAAGGAAAAACUAGGCUGAUAGCGUCUGGGUUAAUAUAAUCAGACCACCAUUAAGCUUCUGCAUAGAGGGAAUUUGGCUGCCGUCACCCGUUGGGGUCAGAGCUCGAUGUUUCCAAAUGGCCUAUUUGUGACUUAAGAGAUUCUGCCCUUCAAUUUGACUAUAUCUCCACAUGAAAGUUUCCUGGUUUUCAGUGUGGUGACUGAUGAGACUGCACUUGAGCUCAUCAAUGGUGAUACACUAGUGAUCCCCAUGAGUUGGAUGGCAUGUUUCAGUAAAUAUUAAUGGCUCAGGUAUCCUUUCCAUGGACCAUAACAAAGUAGUGGCAAUCUGCCGGGUAACUACUGUCUUCUCAACAAAAGAUUAUGGUGAAUUAUGACGCAACUAUGUUAUCUUGUUAAUAACCAGUGAUGUUGAAGGAUUAACUUGGAUCUUUUGUUUUGAAAAUUAACUUGAUAUUGAUAAACUUCAAAGAAUACGAUGAACUUAAAAAGUUUUGUCCUAGAACAACUGGUGUGU